GAUGAAGAACGCAGCGAAAUGCGAUAAGUAGUGUGAAUUGCAGAAUUCAGUGAAUCAUCGAAUCUUUGAACGCACAUUGCGCCCUUUGGUAUUCCUUAGGGCAUGCCUGUUCGAGCGUCAUUUAAACCUUCAAGCUAAGCUUGGUGUUGGGUGACUGUCCGCUUCACGGCGGACUCGCCUCAAAAUUAUUGGCGGCCGGUACAUUGGCUUCGAGCGCAGCAGAAACGCGAACUCGGCCCCGUCGUAUUGGCUCCCAGAAGCUAUCUUCACAAUUUUGACCUCGGAUCAGGUAGGGAUACCCGCUGAACUUAAGCAUAUCAAUAAGCGGAGGA
rnacentral:misc_RNA from 1 species